rnacentral:SRP_RNA from 1 species
ACUGGGCGUGGUGCCCAGGCUUGUAGACCCAGCUACUCGGCAGUCUGAAGCAGGAGGAUCACUUGAGCCCAGGAGUUCUGGGCUAUAGUGCGCUAUGCCAAUCAGGUGUCCACACUAAGUUCAGCAUCAAUAUAGUGACCUCCCGGCAGCGCAGGGCCACCAGGUUGCCUAAGGAGGGGUGAACUGGCCCAGGUUGGAAACAGAGCAGGUCAAAGCUCCCGUGCUGAUUAAUAAUUGGGAUCGCACCUGUGAAUAGCCACUGCACUCCAGCCUGAGUGCAACAUAUAGCCAGACCCUGUCU